UCAGAAUUGAGGGAUUUUUGACUCAAAUUUCUUCGAUAAUUGAUAAUUUUAGAAAUUUAUGUAGUUCUGUAAAUUUACAAAGUUUGUUAUGCUACACACUCUAAACAAAGUUGAGCAAAGCUGGCUGAGUAAAAUGAAGUUGAUCAAAUUUUGUUCAACGUUGGACAAAAUUUAUGCUCCUAAAGCGUAAAAUUUACACAAUAAAGUUGUGUAAAGUAAGUUUUACUCAACAUUGAACAAAAUUUGACUUUUUCGCUGAUCAAAUAUAAAAUUAAUCAAUGUUGGGCGAUAAAUGAACAACAAGUUGAUUAAUUUUUACUCAACGGGUUGAGUAAAAUCAACUCUGCCUAUUUAUCAGCCACUUGCAUGCCGUCAGUUGGUUACAGCAAGUCACAAAAGGAGCAGCAACAAAUUUACUCUUCAUUUCUCAAAAUUUACCAAAAAAUGACCCAACGACUGGAAAAAUGUAAGGAACGAUGGUGACGACAAAGUUUUUUAACCACUUCGCCCCUAUAACGACUAUGUGGCGUAUUUGACCUUUACACCGAAUACGACUAUGUGGCGUAAGUUCCCUUGGCUCCGAAAUACGACGAUGUGUCGUAUUGACCCUUGACAACGGGAACGACUAUGUGGCGUAUUUUCCGUUCCCACCGGCAUACGACUAUGUGUCGUAUCCAGAAAAAAAAAUUAGGGCAUUGUUCUUCCAAGUAUAGUUAUGAGUCAAAAAUCCGCCAUUUGGGCGGGAAGACGAAUUGCCUCUUCGGAACCAAUAUUAUAAAGGGAGGUAAAAACAAUUUAUAGCCAACUGGCUAUUUCUAGCUAACACGCCUAGUUUUGAAAACUGCUGUUGCAUGGAAUUUUUGUCCCAUAUUUCAACAGCGCUUUCAGAUUAAAUUAGUGAAAUUGUUUUUCUCGGAUUUAGAACGCCCCACCGACAUUUUUGGCGGGAAAACUAACCACUGUAGCCGAUGAAAUCUCGUUGGGCGGGAAAAUUAAGAGAUUACCUAGAAAGUAGCAUAUAAUUUUCCCGUUAAAAUUGAGUUAUAUUCAAAAUGCGCUAAAGUAUGGUUUCGAACGGUUGAUGCUAUAAUUAUUCAUUACCAGUGCUAUCAAUUUAAAGCCACUGUAGGAAAACGUUUGUUUUCCCGCCCUAAGUAUGCGUAAAUUCUAUGCAUGUUAGAUGUACAAGAAGCAAUUUUUACACAUUUUAGUCUAAUCACAAAAUUAUUUAUAGCCGAUGUCACGAAUUGAAAGC